AGAGUGAACGCUGGCGGCGUGCUUAACACAUGCAAGUCGAACGAUGAAGCUCUAGCUUGCUAGAGCGGAUUAGUGGCGCACGGGUGAGGAAUAUAUAGCUAAUGUGCCCCUUAGAGGGGGAUAACAGUUGGAAACGACUGCUAAUACCCCAUACUCCUUCUUGGUAUAAGCCAAGUUGGGAAAGUUUUUCGCUAAGGGAUCGGGCUAUACGGUAUCAGCUUGUUGGUGAGGUAAUGGCUCACCAAGGCUAUGACGCCUAUCUGGUCUGAGAGGAUGAUCAGACACACUGGAACUGAGACACGGUCCAGACUCCUACGGGAGGCAGCAGUGGGGAAUAUUACACAAUGGAGGAAACUCUGACGUAGCAACGCCGCGUGGAGGAUGACACAUUUCGGUGCGUAAACUCCUUUUAUGUGAGAAGAUAAUGACGGUAUCACAUGAAUAAGCACCGGCUAACUCCGUG
rnacentral:rRNA from 1 species